GCUGGAACACAUGGGUUAUAUAAAGGCAGGCAGAAAUCAGGUAUUCCAAGGAUCCUCAAUUAACUCGGUGAAUAGACAUGAGUUUCACAUAAGGAUGAAAAUCAAGCAUAACCAGGGACCGUUAUUGACAUACUAGAACAACAUUUAGGGUAGUCUAGCUCUGGCUAUCCAAUCUGAGAACAUCGCGGAACCGCACAACGAAUCCGCCACCCUCCUGCUAGACCCGUAGGCACUAAUUACCAACCAAGCCGUCGCAGAGGUCAGGGAGGGAGGACGAGCCGAGGGAGCAGGGCAGGUCCUGGUCCAGAUCCGGGGCGGCGGCGGCGGCGGUCUUGCUGGCGAGCUCCACCGCGUGGUCAAGGAGGCUGCGUGGCAGGAGGUCCGCCGGCGGAGGCAGUCGCUGGUGGCGCUGUAGCCACCACGCGACCGCGGCCGCCCUUGCCGCGCCUCCGCUGAUGGCGCUUCCCGGACGCCGCGAUACUCCGAGAGGGUGAGGAAAGCGGGCCUUGACGUUAGGAAGAGCCGAACGAAGGAAGUGGUUU
rnacentral:rRNA from 1 species